AGCUCCAAUAGCGUAUAUUAAAGUUGUUGCAGUUAAAAAGCUCGUAGUUGAAUUUCUGGUCAUUCUUAGUGUCGGCCUCGGUCACGCUAAGGUUGGCCAUCCGUUUGCAAGCUGCUCUCGGCCUUCACUGGUUCGGAGUAGUGAGCUGACAUUUUACUUUGAAAAAAUUAGAGUGUUUCAGGCAGGCUUUUGCCCGAAUACAUUAGCAUGGAAUAAUGGAAUCGGACUUUGAUCCAUUUGGUUGGUUAUUGGAUCUGAGUAAUGGUUAAUAGGGACAGUUGGGGGCAUUAGUAUUUAAUUGUCAGAGGUGAAAUUCUUGGAUUUAUUAAAGACUAACUUAUGCGAAAGCAUUUGCCAAGGAUGUUUUCA
rnacentral:rRNA from 1 species